CACGGCCUUCGCGUCUCUUUGUAUUAUGGUGGCGCCCAUGUGGUUGCUGGUCUACCUCGUGAGUGUAUUCGACUACGUAAUUACAAGUCCCAACUUCCUACGGGGAUCCACUGAUGCGGUUGUCUCUUACUGCUAUGAACUAAUCUUUCAGUGAUUGUGGUUUCUCAGCAUCGGCCUAUUUACAGCGCUGCCUCCCUGUUGAUAUAGCGGCCGUGUUGUGCCACGUGUGCACUUAUUCUGAAGACUGACCAGAGCAGUGUUGAGCGCCUGUCAUGUACAGACCAGCUGGGAUACCAUCGGCAGAGCCUCGCAGAUGUCUGAGCCUGCGACUGCUGUGGGAGACCACCUACCCAAGCACCUCGACUGUUUGAUUUUCAUAUGAGUUAUCAAUCGACUUUUGCCACUACUUCGUCCACAGAGCGGUGGGGAGGGCAGCCGCAGUGGCCGAAUUCAGCUCCCAGCUAGCUCACCAGACGCGACGCAUGCGAAGUUCUUACCUGCAGCGCGGCGGCGAAGGUUUACAUUACGGGCUCCAGGCAGAACUGUCAUCAGGACAACGCGACGGCAGCGGCCUCUAGGGGAAGACGACAAAAGCUCCACGCCGACUGGCCGCGACCCAUAGCAGCAGCAGCAGCACCACCACCACCAUCAAGAUUAGGAACUUCAAGACCAGCGAGUUAGGAAUUGUGUAUGCUGGAGAGAUACCUUAUCUGCAUAUCACCCUUCGCUUGCGACACUUCUUUGUUAUUGCCAACACUUUGGUGUCAGACAUAAGUAACAUUUUUCUCAGAACUAGGAAAGCGAAGGGAUUUGCCCAGAAAAUAACUAAAUCAGUAUUACUUAAAAAAAGAAAAUAAUUUAUUUUCUACUAGCAAUAGAAACAGGUCUAGCUAACAAAACCACCGCGUUAAACCAUAUAGUAGUACACGUCGUGAACACAUCAUUAUUUUCGUUUGCUAGCUGUUACAGAAACCACUAGUAGCAUAUGCUCCGUGGGAAUGCUGCCAAUGUCCUCCUCAGCAGAGCCACCAGACGCAGACACCGCCUGCCCACCCUCUACCUGACGGCUGGCCUCCUUCGUAGAGACUGCCACCCCCUGACAGGAGCCUCCUGCUGGUCACUUUGCUGCUGUCCUCCCACAGCCGGGUGCUCUACUUCGAGGAAGUCUUCAUCAGGAUCAGAGUUAUCGGCAGUGCACCUCUGGAUGGAGAUCUGCCCUGGGGGAGUCUGCUGCUGCCCUGCUUCCCCCCCCCCCCCCCCCCCCCCCCCUCGGUAGGGGACUCCUGCUGGUCAGUGUGCUGCUGGUCUCCCACAGCUGGAGGCAUUCGUUCAAGGAAGUCUUCGUCGGGGCCAGAACCUCUGGAUGAAGUUCACGAAGGCCUCCAAUUCUCGAGUCCAGUCCUUGAGCAGCUGCUCAGCCUUUGGCAGGUCUGCCACUCUCUGCAGCCAAAUCCGAUGGCUGUCGGCGGUGGCCCUCCUCAGCAGCUCCUGCCAUCUCUCCUGCAUCUCUGCACUGCGCUGGUGGAGCUGCUCUGGACUCUGCACUGCACUUGACAUUUUCAUCUGGAAACAGCGAGGUAGCCAUGUUUUAUAAAGAGUUGGGCAACUGCAGGAAAAGUUGCAGUGUUUGAAGAGGCACCUACAUAUAGUUGCCAUAUCUCCAGCGAAAGUCCCAAGUAACUCAAUGACAGAGGCCUAUCAAACUGAAACAGUUCAGACUAGUGUAACACACAUACACAUCACUGUGAAAGGGAUUUUUUCAUUUUCUUUUUUCAAACCUUGAAACACCAGUUAGUCAGUUUCACCAAGCUUUCCGUGUACGUGCUAACAAUUAGUGCCACCACGGUUUUUAUUUCAUAAUAUUGCUUAAAUGAUACUUUUAAUGUUCUUAACUUUCUCUUUUGGGAACAUUACUUUCCUACUUGUCAGGACACUACUUUCUGUUCCAGCAGGGACUGUUACCCUUGGUCUCAUUCUGGUUAUUUUUAACUGCUGCUAUGAGUUCAAUUUCUCGCAGAAUUUGAAGUAUUCCAAUUACUCACACGUUAUUUGUUUAAGCCUGCUGUGGCUUUGUCCACCAGACAUCACCGCGCCUAGAGUAUCAGCAACCAAACUGACAGCUUGUAGCCGCGGGUAGCCCGCCUUGCAGGCACACCGAAGCACUACACAACCAACAGGCAAUAUUGAUGAACAGUCAGAAUAACUACCCCACAGCAAAGACACCAGCGGCCACCAGGGGCUCUACCGGCCCACAUAAACCUAAGGAAGAGGUCGCUGCAGAUCCCGGAACUAUUUUCACACGUCAAACCACAUGAUAGAAAAACAGUUCCGAGGUACUCAUCCGCCGAAGCUCUAUAAAGGCCGGCACUCGGCAGUUCAUCGACCGCCAUAAGACAUGGACAGAUGUCACCCCAGCAGCCUGACUUGUAUCUUCUCGCUGAUCU